UCUCCGUAGGUGAACCUGCGGAGGGAUCAUUACUGAGUGAGGGCUUCGGUCCGACCUCCAACCCUUUGUGAAUCAAACUUGUUGCUUCGGGGGCGACCCUGCCGCUUCGGCGGUGCGGCGCCCCCGGAGGCCAUUAAACACUGCAUCAUUGCGUCGGAGUUAAAGUAAAUUAAAAAAAACUUUCUACAACGUAUCUCUUGGUUCCAGCAUCGAUGAUGAACGCAGC
rnacentral:misc_RNA from 1 species